rnacentral:rRNA from 1 species
UACGAAGGGGGCUAGCGUUGCUCGGAAUCACUGGGCGUAAAGGGUGCGUAGGCGGGUCUUUAAGUCUGGGGUGAAAUCCUGGAGCUCAACUCCAGAACUGCCUUUGAUACUGAAGAUCUUGAGUUCGGGAGAGGUGAGUGGAACUGCGAGUGUAGAGGUGAAAUUCGUAGAUAUUCGCAAGAACACCAGUGGCGAAGGCGGCUCGCUGGCCCGAUACUGACGCUGAGGCACGAAAGCGUGGGGAGCAAACAGG